rnacentral:rRNA from 1 species
AUGUUGUUACCUCUUUUGGGCAGGUCCUGCAGUCAACUUUCUGCAAGCGGUUGGGGUCUCAUGUUGAUGGAAGCGCACUCCAAUGCAGUGUCAAACCAUGAGCACAGGAGUGAAGGUUUUGUCGCCCCAAGAGUCAUUGCAACAAGCAGUGUCGAGCGCACGGGAGCGGUGACUUUUGGCACCCCAACAGCCACUGCAGCAGGCAUUGCUAUCCACUCUUCCAAGUGUCCAUUAUCGGAUCCUGAUUCCCAGGCAGAAGCAGGUGCUGAUGAUCAGAACAAGGCACAACCUGGUGGUGUAGUUGCUGCUCCCAAAGUAGUGGAGACCGGUGCAUUAGGUGAGAAGGUUGGGGUGGAAGCGGAACAGGGGGCGGGUCAAAGCACAAGCGUUGCUAAGCGUUCCAGGGCUGCUGCGUUGCAACAAGGUGAGAGUAGCAAUCAUUCUCAUGGGAAGGAUUGUGUGGAGCAGGAGGAAGUUAUACAUCGUGGCGGAAAGGUGACCCCCAAAGAUGCUUGCAACAUGGAUCCUUCGGGAGCUUCUGAUAAGGUUGAAACACCAGUUCUUUCCCAGGGCACGGUGCAGGCAAUGAUGGUAACUGCCUUGGAGUGGGAAGAUGGCCCAUCUUGUGCUCUUUUCUCGGAGGGGACCGAAGACUAUGAGUGGAUGAAUCAAAAAGUAGACAUACCAGUCAAGCAUGUGCAGACAGCAAAUGCUUCUAGCUCUGAUGUGCAGAAUUCAAUCCCAUCAGUGCCAAACUUUGACAACACUCCUCAAGUUGAAAGGCCUAGCAACCUCCCAACCGCAACAUUUGACACAGCUCCAAAGCUCCCUAGGGCAAACGACAUUCCGGGGCCUGUGUUUGAUGUGUCCCCCAUCUCAUUCAAAAAUGCUUCCUCCGAUGGACCUCAAGUAGUAGUGGAUUUGCACGAGACAACCGAGGCGAAUGUUGAGGUCAGGGGUGAGUCCAACAGUCUUGGUAAACAGUCAAAGAAGAAAAGGGUGGCUGUCUCCCCAGACAAUGUGCCAACGAUGAAGAAGAUUAAGGUUGAUGCACACGGUGAUGCCUUACACCAUCAGUAUGUAAUGACCAGAUACAAGACAAGAAAACCAAAGAAAAACGAGCUUCUGCCCGACUUCAUUGAAAUAGAUGGCUUCCAUACAUCUCUCGAGAAUUUUCAUGCAUCUCUAAAGCCAAGAGCGGAGAUUGACAAUGAGGUCAUGACCUUAUACCUGAAGACAUUCAACUAUGAUCAGUCAGUGAAGAAGAAGAAGCCAAAAAAAUUUGUUUUCUCAGUGUUGAUGAGUUUGAAACUCAGUGCUGAGCCAGAUGUGUUUGAUCCGAAGGUGUGCGAAAAAGAAUUUAGUGCUUGCUUACAAAAUCACAUUUCAAAAUCUGACCUGCUAUUCUUCAUGGUUGUACACAAAAGGCACUGGGCAGUAGUAGUUGUUAACAUCACCCAAAGGGAGUUCAAUAUCUUUGACUCCAUUAGGAACUCGGAAGACCUUUUUGAGAUGGACAGGAUCACUAAGAAUGUGGUCGCAAACAUCAAGAGUGUUGCAAUGAGGGAGCCACUUUUUAAGCACAAUCUCGAGUCUUACUCGCUAUUCACCCCACUUGAUUACCCUCAACAAAAAACUUACUAUAACUGUGGCUACUAUAGUAUUUUAUACGUGGAGAAUUGGGAUGGCCUUGUUAUGCUGUCAUUUGGCGAGGAUUACAUCCCAAACCUUCGGAAACGCAUUGCAGCAGAUCUGUUGAGACACCCAAGCAACAAGUUGGACCCCGCGCAUCAGCUGAAGCUGCUUCUUCAGCGUUAG